CUCCUUUUACCUAAUCACAAUAUACAAAUCCCACCAAUAAAUGGAUGAAAUUGACCCGUCUCCAUAGACUAGUCUGCCUCCUUGUUUUCUCUUCCAACCUCCCUCCAUGGAAAACUGAGGAAACAACUCAUCAUCAUAGUCAGAGAGAAAGCUAGAGAGAGAAAAACAGAGAGCAUGAGUACCCGGAAAGCUGCAUCCGAGGCGGAGGCCGCGAUAAAAUCCAUCGGAUUGGGCUACGAUCUCACCGUUGACUUGAAGCUCAAGUACUGCAAGCGCCAGUCUUCCGGUGUUGACUCCCGCUUGAUCACCAUCGACGACGAUCAACUCCGUGAUAUCUCCAUUCCCGGCGGUAUUUGCAUUCCCAAUGUCCCCAAGUCCAUCAAAUGCGAUAAGGGCGAGCGCAUGCGUUUCGGCUCCGACGUCCUCUCUUUUCAACAGAUGUCGGAGCAGUUUAACCAGGAAUUGGCCCUUUCGGGUAAGAUUCCAACCGGACAUUUCAACACUGCGUUUGAGUUUACCGGGGGAUGGCAGAAGGAUGCCGCCAACACAAAGACUCUUGCUUUCGACGGUGUUUCCAUCACCCUUUACAGCGUUGCCCUCGAAAAAUCUCAGGUUGCAUUGCGUGAUGAUGUCAAACAAGCUGUUCCUUCAUCCUGGGAUCCUGCAGCAUUGGCAAGGUUUAUUGACAAGUAUGGAACGCAUGUUAUAGUUGGGGUGAAAAUGGGGGAAAAGAUACGAUCUAUGCCAAGCAGAUGCACUCAUCACCUGUCCAACCUGCUGAUGUGCAGAAAAAAUUGAAGGACAUGGCCGACAAGCUGUAUAUAGAUGGAACUGGAACGGGUCACGAUAGAGACAAGUUCGCCAAGGAUCAUGGGCAGGGUAUUAUGGACGCGAUUCCAUCCAGUUCUUACGCAUCUGCUGAGUCACAGGAUAUUAAAUUUGUGUGCAAGAGAAAGGGUGGAAGCUUACAAAAGAAUCUACGCCACAGUGAGUGGUCUCAAACAGUUCAGCUUGAACCUGAUGUGAUCUCAAUGUCAUUGGUUCCUAUCACAUCGUUACUUAGUGGAAUUCAUGGGAGUGGAUUUUUGAGCCAUGCCAUUAACCUCUAUCUUCGUUACAAACCGCCAAUUGAAGAACUGCAUCAAUUUUUAGAUUUUCAACUUCCAAGGCAAUGGGCACCAGUGUUUGGUGAGCUUGCUCUUGGUCCUCAGAAGAAGCCACAAAGUAGUGCAUCUUUACAGUUUAGCUUCAUGGGCCCUAAGCUUUACGUUAACACAAAUCUGGUUGAUGUGGGAAAGAAACCAGUGACGGGUCUCCGACUGUAUUUGGAGGGAAAAAGGAGCAAUUGCUUAGCAAUCCACCUGCAGCAUCUUUCAUCGCUUCCAAAGACUUUCCAACUCCAGGAUCAAGUGAAUGAAAAUAUCUCUCGCCCCUCAUCUGACCGCAGAUAUUUUGAAAAGGUUCAGUGGAAGAGCUUCUCUCAUGUCUGCACAGCUCCUAUUGAGGCUGAUGAUUUCAAUGUUGUCACUGGGGCUCACUUCGAAAUUGGAGAGUCGGGGAUGAAAAAAGUAUUGUUUUUACGGCUUCAUUUCUCUAAAGUUAUGGGUGCAACCAAUGUUAGACAAUCUGAAUGGGACGGUUCACCAGCCUUGACACAGAAAUCAGGUAUUAUUUCAACCAUGAUCAGCACUCGGUUCUCGUCUGCUGCUCAAAAACAGCCCCCUAAUCCUGCCGAUGUGAACAUAAAUUCGGCUGUGUAUCCUGGAGGACCCCCGGUACCCACACAGACACCUAAACUACUGAGGUUCGUCGACACAACAGAAAUGACUAGAGGACCACAGGAUUCACCUGGGUAUUGGGUUGUGUCGGGUGCAAGGCUGCUCGUUGAGAAGGCUAAAAUUUCUUUACGAGUUAAGUAUUCUCUCCUGACCAUGAUUUUACCUGACGAAGAAGAGAUGCAAGAUGGCUACUGAAAUGCGAUGGUUAAGAAAAUAGAACAAGAGAUUUUGUAGUAGAACAGAGUUGCAAUGGGUUUGUGGGGCAUCUUCAGUGUUCAUAUUCUCAUCACAGACACUUUCUGCUGGAAUAUUUCGUCAGGGGUUGGUUGUAUAUAACUUUUGCAUACGCUUCUAUGUAAAUUUUUUUCUUUAUUUAUUGUAGAUUAUCCUUUCUGGUGCUGAUUUUAAAUAUUUGAAUUGGAC